CGCGUAGGCGGUUGUUUAAGUCGGAUGUGAAAGCCCUGGGCUCAACCUGGGAACUGCAUUCGAUACUGGACAACUAGAGUACGAGAGAGGGAGGUAGAAUUCCACGUGUAGCGGUGAAAUGCGUAGAUAUGUGGAGGAAUACCAGUGGCGAAGGCGGCCUCCUGGCUCGAUACUGACGCUGAGACGCGAAAGCGUGGGGAGCAAACAGGAUUAGAUACCCUGGUAGUCC
rnacentral:rRNA from 1 species